rnacentral:misc_RNA from 1 species
ACGAAUUUCUGACCGAGGUUGUAGCUGGCCCCUUGCGGGGCAUGUGCACGCCUCUCUCACCAAUCCACAAACACCUGUGCACCUUUGCGUGAGUCCGGGGAAGGGAGGAGCGAUCCUCUCGAGUACCGUGCUUGCGUCUUUUUACAAACUCUUCUGUAUGUCUUUAAGAAUGUGUACCUUGAUGUAAUAUAAACGCAUCUAAUA